rnacentral:lncRNA from 1 species
CGGAUCUCUUUCAGCCUGGGAGCCUCCUUCCCUUUGGCCUCCGGGCCACUCGGUAGAGGCGGCCUCUCUUGCGGGGCUCCCCAGUCCCUUCUAGUCCUUUCAGCCUCCCUUUUCAUCGCUUUCCCCCCACAGCACUUCACUCCAGCCAGGGAGCAUCUCCCAGCACUGGCCCUCGAAGAAGACCUGUACUUUCCCACCUCCGGGCCUUUGCUUCCACCAUUGCCCCUCGCCGCCUCUUCCGCCCCCUCUUCCUGGAAGCCUUCCCCGACCUCCCUCCUUCAGCUCCCUCCGCCUCCCCUCGUGUGGGCUGCUCCUGGGGAUUGGUCUGGUUUCCAGUCAGGUCGGGUCCGGCCCCCCCCAACCAGCCCAAAGUUGGGGCGCCCAGUCACACCGCAGCCCCAGCCGCCAAAGGACCCGCAUCGCUAUUCCAGACUUCCCCGGGGCUGCCCUCCCGGCGCCCUUGGAGCACCCCUGGGGGCGGCCCAGGCAGGGCCGGGCGGGCUAUAAAUAGCUGGCUCCGGGCUGGGGCGGGCGCUGCCCUUGUUUCUGCCAGCCGGGGCUGGGAGGGGGGAGCACUCGGCGGACACGCCCAUCCCCCGCGCGGGUCGGUCCGCAGAGGGGAUGGGGCCGGAGGAGAGGCCGAAGAGGCCCGGCGCUCCGAGCCAUGGAGCGCCCCGGGCGGAGCUUCCAGGCGGCCCUCUGGGUCCUGGCACUGCCUCUGCUGCUGCCCCCGGUACAGGUUGGAUGAGGUGGUCGCAGAUCUCCCUUCAGCUCUGAGAUGCUGCCAUGAUGGAAGGCUUCCCAGAAGAGGCGCUCGUCUCCUUUGGGGAGCCCUCCUUUGAAGGCUUAGAUUCCCUGCAAGUUCACAGUGUGUUCCCUCUUCUCCUUCGAGAAGCUUGGCAGGAACCUCCUCCCAGAACAAGGGUGUGUGAAGGUUUGCAAAGGUUAUAGCCCAACCGUUGUGUCCCCAUUCCCCUGAUGAGGGAACUGAGGCUCACAGAAAUUAAGGGACUUGCCCACAGUUCCCCCAACAGGCAUGGAGCUGAGAUUGGACCCCAGAUUUUCUAGGCUUUCUCUACUGUCCUAAGCUGUCUCCUCCUGAGGCAAAGCUGAAGAAGAUCUGGGCCUUUUGAAGGCCUGUGCCUAGCAAGCAGGGGCCGAGAUUUGGCUCGGAUUCCUGGUAUUGUAGGAACUUGGACAAGUCACUCCCCAGCUUUCUCCCACCCUCUGUCUUUGUGUCCCCUUCUCUGUAAAGUGGGAAGGGCAAUCGCGCGCACUCCAGAGGGAUUUUGAAGGCCUGGCCCCCUUUGUGCUUCCAGACAACAUUCCUGGGGCCUUGUUCUUGUUCUUCUGACCCUCCAGAUGGCUUUAGCGUUCUUGCAAGCAGCACCCUGGAGGCAAAAGCCGGAAACCUGGGCAGAGGGGCUCCCCCUGAGCCUUUGGCUGCCACCAAAGUGUUGGGGUGUCAACGUGGCCUCUAGGAAGCAACAAGUCAUUCUUUGCAAAGACUGAGGGGAUUACAAAGAAAACUCAUCAUAGCAGAAACGUAGGUGAGGGGACAGAGCCCAGGAACCAGGGAGGCGAGGGGGGACGGCCCCUCCUGAGGCCUCAGUUUCCUCCCUCGGAAAGAGAAAAGCCCUGCCCUGUUCUACCCACCACACAAUGGGGAGGGACACAGACCCCGGAACCCUAAGGGGCCUGGGCGGCCUCUAGUCUAGCCCUUGGCUGAGCAGAAUCCUCUGCCCAGAGCCUUUUGGAUGGCUGCUCCUUCCCUAAAGCCAUCCACUGGCCAGUGCUGCUGCCCCUUAGAGAUGUGGCUCAGGCUGGAGGGACCCUCCUGGU